GGUUGUGGCUCAGUGGUAGAGAAUUUGCCUAGCAUGUAUGAGGCCCUGAGUUCGAUUCUCAGAACCA
rnacentral:tRNA from 1 species